AGCAGCCGCGGUAAUUCCAGCUCCAAUAGCGUAUAUUAAAGUUGCUGCAGUUAAAAAGCUCGUAGUUGAAUUUCGGGACCAUCAUGUCGGUCGUGCCUCGGUACGUACUGGCAUUGCUGGUUUCUCCCUUCUGACGAACCAUGAUGUCAUUUAUUUGGUGUCGUGGGAAAUCAGGACUGUUACUUUGAAAAAUUAGAGUGUUUAAAGCAGGCUCACGCUUGAAUACAUUAGCAUGGAAUAAUGAAAUAGGACGUUUGAUUCUAUUUUGUUGGUUUCUAGGAUCGACGUAAUGAUUAAUAGGGAUAGUUGGGGGCAUUAGUAUUCAAUUGUCAGAGGUGAAAUUCUUGGAUUUAUUGAAGACUAACUACUGCGAAAGCAUUUGCCAAGGAUGUUUUCAUUAAUCAAGAACGAAAGUUAGGGGAUCGAAGACGAUCAGAUACCGUCCUAGUCUUAACCAUAAACUAUGCCGACUAGGGAUCGGAUGAUGUUAAUUUUAAUGACUC
rnacentral:misc_RNA from 1 species